GAUGAAGAACGUAGCGGAAUGCGAUAAGUAAUGUGAAUUGCAGAAUUCAGUGAAUCAUCGAAUCUUUGAACGCACAUUGCGCCCCUUGGUAUUCCGAGGGGCAUGCCUGUUCGAGCGUCAUUAUAACCCCUCAAGCUCAGCUUGGUGUUGGGGCCUGCUGCACUGGCAGCCCUUAAAAUCAGUGGCGGCGCCAUCUGGCUCUAAGCGUAGUAAUUCUUCUCGCUAUGGAGUCCUGGUGGAUGCUUGCCAUCAACCCCCAAUUUUUCUAUGGUUGACCUCGGAUCAGGUAGGGAUACCCGCUGAACUUAAGCAUAUCAAUAAGCGGAGGA
rnacentral:misc_RNA from 1 species